AUGACGAACUCCAACGAGUGUUCUGAGAUGAAGAUGUGUAGCAGAUUGAUGCGUAGAAAGGUGUUGAAGAUGCGCCGCCUCCUUGUGUUGCAGAGAAAGAUUGAUGCUGUUGUGAUUGAAGAAUAUUGGAUAUCCGAGAUGAGAUUGGAGAUGAAGAAUGAAGGGAUUGAUCUGGUUAUGUACAAGUAUGAAACACAUUUUUAG
rnacentral:lncRNA from 1 species